UAAGCGGAGGAAAAGAAACUAACAAGGAUUCCCCUAGUAACUGCGAGUGAAGCGGGAAAAGCUCAAAUUUAAAAUCUGGUGGUCUUUGGCCANNCGAGUUGUAAUCUAGAGAAGCGUCUUCCGCGCUGGACCGUGCACAAGUCUCCUGGAACGGAGCGUCGUAGAGGGUGAGAAUCCCGUCUUUGGCAUGGACACACCAGGGCUUUUGUGAUGCGCUCUCGAAGAGUCGAGUUGUUUGGGAAUGCAGCUCAAAAUGGGUGGUGAACUCCAUCUAAAGCUAAAUAUUGGCGAGAGACCGAUAGCGAACAAGUACCGUGAGGGAAAGAUGAGAAGCACUUUGGAAAGAGAGUGAAACAGUACGUGAAAUUGUUGAAAGGGAAACGCUUGAAGUCAGUCGCGUCGACCGAGACUCAGCCUCGCCUCGGCUUGGUGUACUUCUCGGCCCGACGGGUCAGCAUCAAUUUCGCCUCUUGGAUAAUGGCGAGGGAAACGUGACACCUUUACGGUGUGUUAUAGUCUCUCGUCGCAUGCAAGGGUCGGGAUUGAGGAACUCAGCACGCGCCUUUGGGCGUCGGGGCUUUGCCUACGAUACGUGCUUAGGAUGUUGGCGUAAUGGCUUUAAACGACC
rnacentral:rRNA from 1 species